rnacentral:rRNA from 1 species
AUUUAUGGAGAGUUUGAUCCUGGCUCAGAGUGAACGCUGGCGGCGUGCUUAACACAUGCAAGUCGAACGAGAACGGGUUAUAGCUUGCUAUAAUUGUCAGCUAAGUGGCG